UACGUAGGGUGCGAGCGUUGUCCGGAAUUAUUGGGCGUAAAGAGCUCGUAGGCGGUUUGUCGCGUCGGCCGUGAAAACUUGGGGCUUAACUCCAAGCUUGCGGUCGAUACGGGCAGACUUGAGUUCGGCAGGGGAGACUGGAAUUCCUGGUGUAGCGGUGAAAUGCGCAGAUAUCAGGAAGAACACCCGUGGCUAAGGCGGCUCUCUAGUACGGUACUGACGCUGAGACGCGAAAGCGUGGGGAGCGAACAGG
rnacentral:rRNA from 1 species